CUCUAUAGCCAAUUGCUGAGAUAGUUCUCGAAUUUUAUCAUGUUCAUUCUGAAAAUUGCAAAAGAAAAAAACAGAGGUAAGUAAGUGGAGAAAAACCAAAUACGAGUAUCAGAGAUUAUUCAAAAGAUCACUUAAGUUUCUUCAUAGGACAUGGUUUAACGGAGAAAAACAAAUGCAUCUAUAAGAGCC